rnacentral:rRNA from 1 species
CAUGCCGUAAACGAUGAUUACUAGGUGUGGGUGGUCUGACCCCAUCCGUGCCGGAGUUAACACAAUAAGUAAUCCACCUGGGGAGUACGACCGCAAGGUUGAAACUCAAAGGAAUUGACGGGGGCCCGCACAAGCAGUGGAGUAUGUGGUUUAAUUCGAAGCAACGCGAAGAACCUUACCAGGUCUUGACAUCUGCCGGACCCUGCAGAGAUGCAGGGGUGCCCUUCGGGGAACGGCAAGACAGGUGG